UCUCCUAUGUUUUAUUAUGGCUAAAACCCUUAUUCCGUCCACUCCUCCUAUAAUAACCAAACCCUAAUACGCUUUCAUACAGAAAAAAACAGACCCUUUUUUCACGAAUAGAUGGUGAUUUGAAGUUUUAGAGCUUUCCUAUAUAUAUAGGUUCAAACUGAAAAAUGCCAAUCGUGUUUGAAAAUCUUUGCCUAACUUUGACAACAAGACAUCCACCACAUUCCAGUUCAUGGCUUCAAAUCACUUGCCUUGUGUUCCUCUGAUCUUUUGACGCGAUGGCCCGGAUUGUUCCCAUCCCAAGUGUGGCAUUUGAGUUGGGAAUGGAACAAUCAAGUCGACUUCGAUGAGCAUUCCCAUGGUAACCCUAAUACCAUACCAGGGACUAUGGGAUCAGUUUCUCCUACUGCCUUCCACCACAAUUUGAGGCGCAAACGUAUUUGCUACAUUUUGGAAACAAUAUAUGUAGAUGGUAAGUUGGACGUAAAGAGAGGUAAUAUGAGUUUGAACAAAAUUUAAGAAUCAAACUUUGUAAUCAAUUUUUCUUCUUCUUCUUCGUCCUUUGAUUUGCUAACAUGUUCUUGUCAUAUCGUAUAUUUAGUAGAAGUGGUAUUUUUAUCA